rnacentral:tRNA from 1 species
CGCGGGAUGGAGCAGUCUGGUAGCUCGUCGGGCUCCGUUGGUUCAAAUCCAGCUCCCGCAACCA